rnacentral:rRNA from 1 species
GUCUAUGGCCAUACCACCCUGAACGCGUCCAAUCUCAUCUGAUCUCAGAAGCUAAGCACGGUCAGGCCUGGUUAGUACUUGGAUGGGAGAAAUGAAAAAGGAGAUAUUACAACUU